UCCGUUACGUUACGGUCUUGGGUCGUCGAGAAGCCUUAUCUUUGCGUUGCAGAUAUCUGCAAAUUACGUUAAACAUUGCCAGUAUUGCGUGGGCAGCAAGAAUACAGUCGCUUGAUCACAAUAGAGGGCUAUCAGUACUGUGGGUUUGGCGCUGGAUUAGUUUUGCAUUUAGUUAUUUGUUUCGGGGCCAAUGUUGGAUUUAGACUGACUUUCAAGUUUCGCUUAGUUUUAGGAUUGGAGUGGGUUUAAUUUGGGAGGGGUUGGUUCAACGUUUAGUAUUUGCUUGGUGUGGGUUUUGUGGUUGACUAUGAAUUCGGCUCGGUUUUGGGGUCGGCAGUGCAGCCUUGUUUAUGUCCUUGGCCGCCUCUUUUUCUAAAAGUAUAUGUAAUGCGAAAUCCGUUUUUAAAGUUUUCCGCUUAUCGCUGUAUUCGAGCGUUGUGUGUCUGGGUGGUGGCUGGUUAGUGCUGAAUUAAUUCUAAACCAACACCGUUUCUGUUUCUGAUGCUUCUGGCCAUCGUUCAGAACCUAAGUCAAAGCGGGCAGACAAUUUUGCGACAAUUUUGAAAGAAGCCCAGUGAAGCACAGCUUGUUUGAAGUGCCCGGUUGCUAUAGCAACACUUCCAGUCUAGUUUUCCACCUGCCUUCCACUUGUAUCAUCCCCAGGGUCCGAACCUGACCAGAGGAAAAAGUUUUAAAGUGCCGCUGUGUGGGCGGGGCUUUUUUUUAGAGCUAUCCGCAAAAUCAGUUCUUGUCCUAUUAGAAUGUUCCUGGGUCCGUCACGGCAGUCGCUCCUGUUGGGCAUCUGCUGUCAAGUUUAUUGAUUCAGUCCCUGUACUUGGUUACUGCACCAUACUUGGAAAUGAGGAAGGGAUAGCAGGCAACAAAUUGAGACUGAAAGCCCUUUUUGUCAUUGGCAAAACUUCGUUAAUCUACAUAUCAUAGAUGAUCUUGAUUUACAGAUGUAGUACGUUCUGAACGACACCAUAAGAUUCAGAUCAAUUAUUCCAGUACUGACUUGAACACAAUGAUUUCAAUUACAAGUUAAAAAAAUGCAAGCCUGGAAAAUGAAUGAAGCAUAAGAUGCUUCCUGACCUGCUGAGUUCCUCCAGCAUUUUGUGUGCAAUGCUUCAGUAUCUUACAGUGUUUGGAAAUUCAGGUCAGCACAAUUUGUUUGAAACCUCCACGCCAAUGAAUUCAGAUAUAGUUUAAUGUCUCGGUGCCACUCCAAUGUUCAGUGGGGCAGUUGAACAAAAUUGGCCUGGCCAGAUUACAACAAACUACCAAGUGAUGGUUACUAGACAAAAGCAAACACAAGGAAAUCUGCAGAUGCUAGAAAUUCAAACAACACACACAAAAUGCUGGUGGAACGCAGCAGGCCAGGCAGCAUCUAUAAGGAGAAGCACUGUCGACGUUUCGGGCCGAGACCCUUCAUCAGGACAGACCUUAUAGACCUUAUAGUCCUUAUAGAUGGUGCCUGGCCUGCUGUGUUCCACCAGCACUUUGUGUGUGUUACUGGACAAGUUUUUAAGAACCAUCAUUUAAUUUACCAGAUAAUUUAAACUAGGAUAUAUGUGUUAUUACUGAAUCCAGAAUGGGAGAGGAAAAGGGGUCAGAAGGGAGAGCACAUGGCCAGGAAUGAUGUUUUCAAGUUGUGAUAGUCUGAGGAUCCUCUAGUCUCCAGUCAAUGGAAUGUCAAUGAAAUGCAACUGUGGGAAAACUAUAAAAGCACAGCGAGACAGGAGCUCCACAGUAGACAAGGUCAACAGGAAUUAGAAGUAUUAAUACGUACAUUGUGGUGUGGUGGAGAUACAUCUCUACCAAAGGAGGUGUAAGGUGCUUUUUCCCUCCAUUAGGCUGCAGGUUGCUGUUGGGAAGAUCUAGCACUGGCUUAGUCCCUGAUCAGGGUUAUGUGGGGCCAUGGAAGCAGGUGGUAUAAGCAGCUGGUGCAUAUCGCAAGUCCUGGUUGGUCAGGCAGACACUCUCUGAAGAGUAUUCAUAAUGGCUGGGGUCACCCGUCCUGUAAAAGACACUGCCCAGAAGAAGGCAAUGGCAAACCACUUCUGUAGAAACAUUUGUCAAGCACAAUCAUGGUCAAAGACUAUGAUUGCACACGUCAUUCGAGAGGACACAUAAUGAUGAUGUCAUACGAUAUGUGACGUAGCAAUGACAUCAUAUGAUAUGGCACAUGAUGAUGGUGCACAUGCACAUGAAAUUCAGAGAGGUUGUGACUCAAGAACAGAAGGUUGCAGAGGAGCUUGGAUUUGAGUUGCUGGAUGGGUUCUCCAAUGCAGCCAUUACCAGGCACAAUGUGGCAGAGCAGAGCAGGAACCAAUCAAAAGACGUGUUAUAUGCAGCAGAAACGAGGGCAAGUGAAGUGGACACUUCGGGAUUAAAGAUUAAUGUUGGCUUUAUUUGUCACACCUACAUCGAAACGUACAGUGAAACGUGUCCUUUGCAUCAAAUCACAUCAGCAAGGAUUGUGCUGGGUCAGCUAGGAAGUGUUGCCAUGCUCCAGCACCAACAGAGCACGCUCACAGCUCAGUAAGCCAGCCGUAUGUCCUUGGAAUGCGGAGGGAAUCUGGAGCACCCAGAGCAAACCCAUAUAUUCAGCAGGAGAAUGUACAGAAUCCUUGUAGGUAGUGGUGGGAAUCGAACCUGGGUCUUACAGCUGGUGGUAUAAGGCGUAACGCUAACUGUUAUGCUACUGUGUUUCUUUGUUCUAUAAGAGACCUGUAGCUGAACAUAAUUUCUCAUUGUUUAAUUUCAUAAAUCAAUAUGUACACUUAGUGGCCACUUUAUGGAGUAUCUCCUGUACCUGAUAAAGUGGCCACUGCCAAUAUGUUUGUGUCUUCUGCUGCUGUAGCCCAUUACUUCAAGUUUCAAUGUCUUGUGCAUUGAAAGAUGCUUUUCUUCGCAACACAGUACAUCCACGCAUGGUUAUUUGAGUUACUGUCGCCCUUCUGUCAGCUCGAACCAGUCUGGCCAAUCUCCUCUGACUUCUUCAUUAACAAGACAUUUUGGCCCACAGAAAUGCCCCUCAUUAGAGGCCUGUUUGUUUUGUUUUUCAUACCAUUCUCUGUAAACUCCAGAGACUUGUGUGUGUGAAACCCCCAGGAGAUCAGCAGUUUCUGAGAUACUCAAACCAUCCUGUCUGGCACCAACCAAUGAUCAUUCCACUGUCAAAGUCACUUAGAUCACAUUUCUUUCCCAUUCUGCUGUUUGGUCUGAAGAAUAACUGAACCUCUUGACCAUGUCUGCAUGCUUUUACGCAUUGAGUUGCUGCCUCAUGAUUGGCUAAUUAGAUAUUUGCAUUAACAAACAGGUGCACAGGUGUACCUAAUAAAGUGGCUAUUGAGUGUAUAUGUAAAUACUUAUUCUAUUAACAAUAUAUAUAAAUAUAAAUAUAAGUUUCCUGACAAAGGGUCUCAGCCCGAAACGUUGACAGCGCUUCUCCCUAUAGAUGCUGCCUGGCCUGCUGUGUUCCACCAGCAUUUUGUUUGUGUUGUUUGAAUUUCCUGCAUCUGCAGAUUUCAUUGUGUUUGCUCCAUAUAUAAAUAUUACUACUUUUAAAUAUUUGUUUGCAUGGUCUUAUUUCAUUUUCUUUUUUAAAAAAACAAGAUUUACAGAGUGCAACACAUAGAUACAUCUCAAUAUAAAUUGUGUACAUUUAUUAUCGUAAUAAAAUUGAUCAAAAUGUUAUAGCAUAACACAUAAAGGUAUACCACUCUGUAAUCAAAAAUUUAAAGAUAAGUCAUACAUCAUAAAAGAAAUUUUUUAUAUAAAAAAGUCAACCCCCUACCAACUACCAAAGAAAAAAGCUGAUGGAUGAUAAUGGAUAAUUCGAAAAAAAAACAUAUUCGCUUAAGAAGAGAAGAUAAAAAUAUACAUAAAAGUCUGCGCACUGUUAAACUUUAUAAAUUUUAUUUUAAAGAGGAAGCAAUGCAGUUUUUCGAAGUGUGAGGUUACCUUUAAGAACUGAGUGCACCAUGUGACAUGACCUUCAUACAUUUUGGAUCAAACGCCACUGUUCUGUUGAGAAUUACUUCCUUCAGUAAAUGUUGUUCUGUGUAUAGUUUUACCUUGGUUCAAUCACCUAUUUUUUACAGCGAUAUAAAGGAAUACACUGGCCCGGAAAGGCCGGCAGCUUCUCACUUGUUGUGCCUUCAAUUGCCUCACUGUCUGCUUCCUGACAUUAACUGCAAUGCUAAAGCACCCUCUGGAAUUUUUAACAUUUUAAAUAAGCACGUUGUACUGCACUAACAGUUGACUCCACUAAUAACUACCUCACUGGAAUAACUGCUUAACAAGCUCAUUAAAUUCUCUAAACCUUAUAGUUUUUAUGAAGCAUGAUUGCUCAUUUCAUUGCCCUGAAGGGGGGUAUUCAAGAAUGAAAGUCAAUAGUCCUGAAAGAUUGCAUGCAGUGUACUGUACAGAUUUUCAGAAUUCAUUUCAAGAUGUACUUAACAGCAUGCAGAUGGUGUGAGACAAAUCUGGUUCAGUAUAAAAAGUGAGCAUUUGUCAUUUCAAUUACUGCUUGCAAAUGCCUCCGGGGAAUCUGAACCCACAUUGUCAUAAACUGAACACGCCUAAAUGAUGGAUUUCUCCUGUGAAUGAUUAAAGUCUGUAAUGUUAAUAGUUUGGUGGCUUUGGAUAAUUUCUUUUUCUUGUGUUAACUGCCUUCCUGAUGCUUCUCCACACACCACUUUGGUGAGAAAGAUGCAAAAAGUACACACCACUGACAUCCCUUUGUAUAUUGCAGUGAACACAGAGCUGCUUCCAAUAUCCAAACAAUGAAAAUAAUUGCAAAUUUCUUUCAGUUAGUUGGAAUGGAGCAAGAUAAUGCAUAGAGAGAAAAAAAUUCUGCACAGAAUGCCAGCACCCAUCCAAUAAUUAGUAACACAGAGAUAUAUAAAAGCAUCACCUCCUCUUACUUAUCCCUUGAAGAGGCCUCACUCUGGACCGUCAGAAAAGUGUCUCCAACACCAUCACUGACCUCAUCAACUCUGGAAAACUCCCAUCUACUGCCACCAAACUUAUAGUUUCCUUACCCCACACUGCUCGUAUCUACCUCCCACCCAAGAUCCACCAACUUAACUGUUCAGUAGGCCAUUUGCCUCUGCUUGUUCCUGCCCCAUUGAACUCGUGCUUAAAUACCUUGAUUCCAUUCUAUCCCCCUUGGCUCCCACUAACCUCCAUUCACCUCUCAUGCUCUCAAACUCCUCACUAACUUUCAAUUCCCUGGCCCUGACCACUUCAUUUUCACCAUGGAUGUGCAGUCCCUAUACACCUGUACUCCCCAUCAAAUAGGCCUUAAAAUGCUCCAUUUUUGCUCAACAAAACACCCACACAGUUCCCCUCCACCACCACCCUCUUCCAUCUGGCAGGACUGCACCAUCCUCAACAAUAUUUCCUUCGGCUCCUCUUACUUUCUUAAAACUCAAGGUGCAGUCAUGGGCACUGGCAUGGGCCCCAGCUAUGCCUGCCUUUUUGUUGGCUGUGUAGAACAGUCCACGUUCCAAGCCUUCUCUGGUAUAACUCCGCAUCUCUUCCUUCGCUAUAUGGAUGACUGCAUUGGUGUUUUUCAGGCUGCACAUGCUGCACUCAUCAAUUCAUCAACUUUGCCUCCAACAUCCAUCCUGCCCUUAAAUCCAUAUGGCCCAUUUCUGACAUCUCUCGCCCCUUUCUUGAUCUCUUUCUCCUUCUCUGAAGAUAAAUUGUCUCCCAAAAUCUUUUAUAAACCUAUCAAUUCCUGCAGCUAUCUUGACUAUACUUCUUCCCACCUGUCUCCUACAAAAACAUUAUACCCUUUCUCAGUUCCUUCCUUUCCAGUGCAUUUGUUCCCAGACUGAGGGUUAACUUUCCAGGACACCAGAGAUGUCUUCCUUCUUUUCCUCCACCAUUGAUGCUGCCCUCAUCCGCAUCGCUUCUAUUUCCCGGACUUCCACGCUCACUGCAUUGGUUCACCAUCUUAACAGAGUUAGAAUUCAUUUUGUCCUCACCUACCACUGAAUGAGCCUCUGCUUCCAACACAUCAUUCUCCGAAACAUCCAUGAGCUCCAGCAGGAUCCUACCACCAAACAUAUCUUUACUUACCCCCUACUCUCCACCUUCCACAGGGAUCACACCUGCUGGGAUUCCCUUGCCCAUUCAUCCCACCCCACUAAUGUCACUCCUGGCACAUACCCCUGCAAGCAAUAAAAAUGUUGCACCUGCCUGAUUGCCUCCUCCCUUACCUCUAUUCAGGACCCCUAACUGUCCUUCCAGGUGAGCCAACACUUCAUCUUCAGAUCUAUUGGGAUUGUCUGUUGUGCCGUCACUCUCAAUUCGGCCUCCUCUACAUUGGUGAAACCCGACAUGAACUGGGGGACCGCAAUUUUCCUCUCAUGUUCACUUUAAACUUUUCAUCUUUCACCCUUAACCCAUGGCCUCCAGUCAUGACCACUAAUACACCACGCAAUGCAAAAUGAAUUAAACUAAUAGGGCAACUUUACACUGGGGAUACUCCACAGAAGUAACUCUGGGUGAAAUUGGUUGAUCUACAAUAUUCUUCCUUUUUAUUCACUGAAUGAUAGUAUGUUCAUAUAAUUCUCUU